UUCUCUUUUAAAGAAGUCAUGAGGGAUCCAAUGCUUGAUGGCAACGCAGCCCUUCAUUGAAAAUUCAAGGGCCUCAUUGUUUCCCUGCAACAGGAAGACAACUUGGAAAGGAUUCUCUAGACACUGAGCCCAUUGUAGGAAGCUGUGCGACCCAAAGAUUUUCAUGAGCAUGAACUUGCCCUUUGAGAUCAAAGCCGAUUGUCUUCUGAGAGGUGUCCAGUGGGCCAUCCUCUGAAAAGUGACCCACUGUUCAGCACAGCUCUUUCCAGGACACUGAAUUGGAGCCAGCUGGUGCCUGGAACGUACCUUGUAUGUCACUUUCUGAUCUCUGAAGGCCAACUGUAUGUGAUUAAGCCUAACAGACACAGAGCUUGUGUUAAGCCCAGGAUGUCGCUUGGUGCUCUUGCAAAUCCUGUUCCUCAUACUCUGUCUUGGUGGCAAGUGGGUUCAAUAGAUGACUUCCCUGCGGUGAGAGGCUAAGAGAGUGGGAGGAAUGUCAUUUUUCAGUCGACAGAAAUAAGAGAGAUCGCCCUGGCUGCCAUGUUGAGACUAGCUUGCCAUGGAUAAGAGAAGAAUCAAGAAGACCAGGUAAGAAGCAAUCGAGGUGCUUCUGGUGUAAGGUGCUUAGCUGGGGUGGCAGCAGAGAAAGGGGUGGGAGUGGUCAGGCUGAGUCCACUCUGGACAUGGCACUGACGGAGCUUGCUGAUGGUGGGAGGUGGGUGUGAGGGGAAGAGAGGAGACAAAGUUGAAGUCAUCCAAGGACUAGUGGGCUGAGCAAUGGGAAGGGUGGAGUUGCCAUCCACUGAGUUUGUAUUUCUCUGUUUCUGGAACUCAGUGGUAAACUUCUGGCAGACAGGAACCAGCAUCUUGUGUAUUCUGUAACCUUCAUACAAACAUGAUCAAAAUUAUGCUAAAUGUAAAAUGAAGUUUAAAGUUCCCCUUAUAGGGUCUUUUCUGGCCCACAGAGGGGUCUCAACGUUGACCUUGGGGCCAGCCAACCAAUGAUCGCUCUCCUUUCCAUGCUGUGUGGAACCCACUUGCUCCCCUGGUGGUGACUUUUGGGUGGCUACGGGGGUAGGUUUCUGCCUAUCUAGUCAAACUAUUAUUUAACCCUUCAUAUGGGUCCAGGUACUUUCCCGAACAGGAGAAUUUCUAGAGAGAGGGAUGGAGGCGGAGGGUGGGAAAUCAGCUCUCAUCCCCUUUAACCAUCUGGUUCUCUUCUUGAUGCAAGACUCCAACAAGGUGAACUUGACCCAGAGGAUACAAGGAAAACAUUUUUGAAGCUUUUUAUAGGGCCGGUUCAGUAAUGUAAAUGUCUGCUUCUGGCCAGGUAUAAACAGUAGGGAGUAAUUGGUACCGAUGCAGCAAACCAGAGUCCCAGGCAAUUGCUGCUGUGUAGAACUGGAGGUGCAAUAAACCAGGCAUGUGUGUGAGCCUAUUGCAGCCCAGGAACCCCUCCUUCCCCAGCCCUGGCCUGAGCAUCAGAGAAGUCCCUUUAAGACCUUCCCUUUCUUGUCAUUGUCCUGUUCUUCCCAGAGUCCUCUCUUAGACCCAUUCAUUGUUGGUGCUCCUUAUACACCAUCCUGCAUUAUUUCCACAUUCUUAUACCCCCUUAAGAAGUACCUGGGUCCUAGAUACUUUCAAGCCUCUAUGUCUUGCCAACUGUUUCUGUAAGUGCUGCAGGUGUUUGUCUAUUGCUAUCAAGUGCAUACCGUAAGUUAAAGAUACUUUAUUGCUACAAAAUGUUAACCAUCAUCUGAGCCUUCAGCAAGUUACAGUAGUAAUAUCAAUGAUCGCUGAUCACAGAUCACCUUAGCAAAUAUAAUAAUAAUGAAAAAGUUUGAGAAUUACCGAAAUGUAACACAGAGACACCUAGCGAGCCACUGCUGUAGGAAAAAAUGGCACUAAUAAACUCGCUGGAUGCCACAGCGUUGCCAUAAACCUUCAAUUUAUAAAAUUCAAUAUUGUCAAAGUGUAAUAAAAUGAGGUAUGCCUGUAUUUCAACAGUGCUUCUCCUUUAGGGUCUUUCCUUGUAAAUUACUGAAACCUCUAGGGGUUCAACCCAAAGGUUCUCACUUAGAUUAUUUACAUAAAGAUGUUCAUAAUCCCAUGGAAUAACAAAUCUUUAUUACAAAAUUGAGUCUCGUGUUUAGGAAUCUUUGGAGAAGGAAGUUUAAAUACCAAGAAAGAUAUAUUAAGAAAUAAAUUGUGGGAAGAUCGAGGGAAAUUGAGGGGAAAAAAAUCCACUGAUGAGCAUAUUUCAAUAGAGCUUUGACCUACUGGUAGCUCAUCUCUGCACAGCCUCUUCCCAUAGCCCUUCCUACAUGAGCGCCUCCUCCAGGAAGUGGGGCUGUUUGUUAUCAAGCACGUCCAUGUGUUCUUUCUCAGUAAACCAAAAGAUUUCCAAUUUAUCGGAGGGAUUUCAACUCUAGCAAAAUGUUCAGUGUCCCCAAAGCUAUUAAAUACUCUUCAUUAUUCUUAUAACGAUCAGUAGAACACCCUCAUUUAUGUUUAUUUUUUUCCAAAGAUAAAAAUUGGAGCAAUUGGAGGAGGGGGAGAGAUUCAUGGACACAAAUGGCUUGAUCUUUUCACCUGUUUCACUGGCUCUUUUUUUGAAUGUUGACUUAAUUUUAUACAUCUAGGUAUUCCCACUUCACCCAUUUUGUGGGUGCUUCAGGUGGCCCAAAUAGGAAGGGCCUAUUUAUCGAUUUUUUCUUCUGUGAAUGUGGCCACUGUCCUCUUAGCCUGUGAACAUAAGGUCUGCCGUCCUCUUGCUCUUACUGGUGGGGCAUGGGGGGGGGGUUGCACCCUGAAGAGGCAAAAAUCAUUUCAAAUCCCCUGAAGACCAAAAUAUCAAGAAUUAGAGGGCAAUGUAAUGGCUGGGAGAGGGAAGAAAGGACAGAAGCAAAUAGUUGACAGGUCUCUAAAAUUUUAAUUUUAAGCCCAAAGAAUUUCUUGAAAGGCACCUUUGAGGGGGAGGGCUCAUUGAUUUUCUUUUCUUUUUUUUUGACUUUUUAGGGCCGCACAUGUGGUAUAUGGAAGUUCCCAGACUAGGGGUGGAAUCAGAACUGUAGCUGCUUGCCUACAACCACAGUCAAGCAAUGCCAGAUCCAAACUGUGUCUGUGACCUACACGGCAAUUCACAGCAACACUGGAUCCUUAACCCACUGAGCGAGGCCAGGGAUCGAACCCACAUCCUCAUGGAUCC
ensembl:lncRNA